GAUGAACGCUGGCGGCGUGCCUAAUACAUGCAAGUCGAGCGAACAGACGAGGAGCUUGAUCCUCUGACGUUAGCGGCGGACGGGUGAGUAACACGUGGAUAACCUACCUAUAAGACUGGGAUAACUCUGGGAAACCGGAGCUAAUACCGGAUAAAAUAUAGAACAGCAAGGUUCAAUAGUGAAAGAGGGUUUUGAUGUCAAUUAUGGAUGGAACGGCGCCGCAUUAGCAAGUUGGAAAGGUAACGGCUUACCAAGACGACGAUGAGUAGCCGACCUGAGAGGGUGAUCGGCCACACUGGAACUGAGACACGGUGCAGACUCCUACGGGAGGCAGCAGUAGGGAAUCUUCCGCAAUGGGCGAAGGCCUGACGGAGCAACGCCGCGUGAGUCAUGAAGGUCUUCGGAUCGUAAAACUCUGUUAUUAGGGAAGAACAAAUGUGUAAGUAACUAUGCACGUCUUGACGGUACCUAAUCAGAAAGCCACGGCUAACUACGUG
rnacentral:rRNA from 1 species